GCCCCCGUAGUUCAAUUGGAUAGAACAGCGGCGUUCUAAGCCGAAUGUUGGGGGUUCGAGUCCCUCCGGGGGCG
rnacentral:tRNA from 2 species